rnacentral:rRNA from 1 species
CGGAAUCUACUUUUUCGUGGGGGAUAACGUAGGGAAACUUACGCUAAUACCGCAUACGACCUACGGGUGAAAGCAGGGGACCUUCGGGCCUUGCGCGAUUGAAUGAGCCGAUGUCGGAUUAGCUAGUUGGCGGGGUAAAGGCCCACCAAGGCGACGAUCCGUAGCUGGUCUGAGAGGAUGAUCAGCCACACUGGAACUGAGACACGGUCCAGACUCCUACGGGAGGCAGCAGUGGGGAAUAUUGGACAAUGGGCGCAAGCCUGAUCCAGCCAUACCGCGUGGGUGAAGAAGGCCUUCGGGUUGUAAAGCCCUUUUGUUGGGAAAGAAAUCCAGCCGGUUAAUACCUGGUUGGGAUGACGGUACCCAAAGAAUAAGCACCGGCUAACUUCGUGCCAGCAGCCGCGGUAAUACGAAGGGUGCAAGCGUUACUCGGAAUUACUGGGCGUAAAGCGUGCGUAGGUGGUUGUUUAAGUCUGUUGUGAAAGCCCUGGGCUCAACCUGGGAACUGCAGUGGAAACUGGACGACUAGAGUGUGGUAGAGGGUAGCGGAAUUCCUGGU